GUCGUUGUCCUCAGUCGAUUCUUCGAAUUCUACUCUCUCUCUCUCUCUCUCUCUCUCUCUCAUACUCUCUCUCAUUUUCUCUUUUCCUAUCUCAAAAUCUUUCUUUCCAGUUUCGAGAGGAUACCCUUUUAUACGUACUUCACUAUUAUAGUAGUGUACUACUAUGUAUACUUGAAUACCACUACAAUUAAGUCUAACUACCAUUACUACUACUACUACAAUUAUUAUUACUACUACUACUACUACUACUUACCCCUUCUCCAGUCCCAAGCAGAUGUUACAGAAACAAGAAAGGUCAUACCAUUCCUGCACCGAUCCCACAACAAGCAGGAACGGCAAGAAUAUUGAACACCGCCGAUCCGACGAU